GACGGAGGGUGCUAGCGUUGUUCGGAAUCACUGGGCGUAAAGGGCGCGUAGGCGGCUUCAGGUGUCGGAUGUGAAAGCCCGGGGCUCAACCCCGGAGGUGCAUCCGAAACUCUGGGGCUGGAGGCCGGAAGAGGAGGGUGGAAUACCCAGUGUAGAGGUGAAAUUCGUAGAUAUUGGGUGGAACACCGGUGGCGAAAGCGGCUCUCGGGUCCGGUCCUGACGAUGAGGCGCGAAAGCGUGGGGAGCAAACAGG
rnacentral:rRNA from 1 species